rnacentral:rRNA from 1 species
AUUGAACGCUGGCGGCAUGCUUUACACAUGCAAGUCGAACGGCAGCGGGGAGGAGCUUGCUUCUCUGCCGGCGAGUGGCGAACGGGUGAGUAAUACAUCGGAACGUGUCGAGAAGAGGGGGAUAACCACCCGAAAGGGUGGCUAAUACCGCAUAAAUUCUGAGGAAGAAAGCUGGGGACCUGGGAAUAGGCCUAGCGCUUUUUGAGCGGCCGAUGUCGGAUUAGCUAGUUGGUGAGGUAAAGGCUCACCAAGGCGAAGAUCUGUAGCGGGUCUGAGAGGAUGAUCGGCCACACUGGGACUGAGACACGGCCCAGACUCCUACGGGAGGCAGCAGUGGGGAAUGUUGGACAGUGGGGGCAACCCUGAUCCAGCCAUGCCGCGUGUAUGAAGAAGGCCUUAGGGUUGUAAAGUACUUUUGUUAGGGAAGAAAAGUCAGCUGUGAAGAAUGGCUGAUACUGACGGUACCUAAAGAAUAAGCACCGGCUAACUACGUG